GAAUUAAUUGAUAAACUUUACAAAUCUCUGUGGGUAAGACUCUAGUAUUUGCUUGCUAUACUAUCAUAUCGAUUCGUGCACUUGCGAGUUAUAACUUUUGUUCAUCACUCAUGCCCAUCUUUUCUCCUGGUAAAGCCACUUCCUAGAUAUGAUUGCUUACAAGGGUAGGCUGAAACUUCACUUCCUCCUUUGCACUGACAUCCCCAAG
rnacentral:lncRNA from 1 species